GCUGGGCUAGCUCAGUUGGUAGAGUGCCUGCCUAGCAUGCACGAAGCCCUGGGUUCAAUCCCCAGCACCUUAUAAACCCAGCA